UGAGAACUUAAACAUGGUAAUGUGCACAUAAAUUGAUUUGGGUCUCUAGGUCUGCCCUAAUGUCUUUCGGUUUUGAUUUGGGGCAUGGUUCCAUAGCAAAACA